GACGAACGCUGGCGGCGUGCUUAACACAUGCAAGUCGAACGGAAAGGCCCUGCUUUUGUGGGGUGCUCGAGUGGCGAACGGGUGAGUAACACGUGAGUAACCUGCCCUUGGCUUUGGGAUAACUUCAGGAAACUGGGGCUAAUACCGGAUAGGAGCUCCUGCUGCAUGGUGGGGGUUGGAAAGUUUCGGCGGUUGGGGAUGGACUCGCGGCUUAUCAGCUUGUUGGUGGGGUAGUGGCUUACCAAGGCUUUGACGGGUAGCCGGCCUGAGAGGGUGACCGGCCACAUUGGGACUGAGAUACGGCCCAGACUCUUACGGGAGGCAGCAGUGGGGAAUAUUGCACAAUGGGCGGAAGCCUGAUGCAGCAACGCCGCGUGCGGGAUGACGGCCUUCGGGUUGUAAACCGCUUUCGCCUGUGACGAAGCGUGAGUGACGGUAAUGGGUAAAGAAGCACCGGCUAACUACGUG
rnacentral:rRNA from 1 species